rnacentral:rRNA from 1 species
AUUGAACGCUGGCGGCAUGCCUUACACAUGCAAGUCGAACGGCAGCGGGGACUUCGGUCCGCCGGCGAGUGGCGAACGGGUGAGUAAUGUAUCGGAACGUACCUUUCAGUGGGGGAUAACGUAGCGAAAGUUACGCUAAUACCGCAUAUUCUGUGAGCAGGAAAGCAGGGGAUCGCAAGACCUUGCGCUGAUUGAGCGGCCGAUAUCAGAUUAGCUAGUUGGUGAGGUAAAGGCUCACCAAGGCUACGAUCUGUAGCGGGUCUGAGAGGAUGAUCCGCCACACUGGGACUGAGACACGGCCCAGACUCCUACGGGAGGCAGCAGUGGGGAAUUUUGGACAAUGGGCGAAAGCCUGAUCCAGCCAUGCCGCGUGAGUGAAGAAGGCCUUCGGGUUGUAAAGCUCUUUCGGCCGGGAAGAAAUCGCAUCAGCUAAUACCUGGUGUGGAUGACGGUACCGGAAUAAGAAGCACCGGCUAACUACGUGCCAGCCGCCGCCGUAACAC